CAAGAAGCCCCAGGUAUUCCUAAUCCCAAUUGUUUAAGUCUUUCCAGUGUUAACCACCAGACAUGUGAUGGAUUAAGGACUCCAGAUUAUUCCAGUUCCCAGCUGUCUUAGUCAGGGUUCUCCGGAGAAGUUAUCACAUGAUUACAGAGGCUGGCAAGUCUGACGUCUGCAGGGUAGACCAGCAAGUCAGAGACCCAUGGAAGUUGAUGUUGCAGCUCAAGUCCAAAGGCAAUCUGCUGGCAGAAUCCUCUCUUCUGUUUCCUCAGUGUGUUUUUACUUAAGAAACUGAUUGGAUGAGCCCCACCCACAUUAUGGAGGGAAAUUGCCAGUGCUCUGGAUGCAAAUGGAUUUUUCCUUAGGAAUUCAGAGUUGCUGAGUUUUGCAUCAAGACUGAAAGAGGCCAAAAAGAGAAGCUGUGUGGUAGGACUGUGUGAUGACUCAUCCUAC
rnacentral:lncRNA from 10 species